rnacentral:rRNA from 1 species
UAUUCCUACGGGACGCAGCAGUGAGGAAUAUUGGUCAAUGGGCGAGAGCCUGAACCAGCCAAGUCGCGUGAGGGAAGACGGUCCUAUGGAUUGUAAACCUCUUUUGCCGGGGAGCAAAAAGCGGUACGUGUACCGCAUCGAGAGUACCCGGAGAAAAAGCAUCGGCUAACUCCGUGCCAGCAGCCGCGGUAAUACGGAGGAUGCGAGCGUUAUCCGGAUUUAUUGGGUUUAAAGGGUGCGCAGGCGGCGAGUUAAGUCAGCGUGACAAUUUCGGGGGUCAA